rnacentral:ncRNA from 1 species
CCAGAAGAGGCGCGUCGCCCAGGCAGGGUGUCAGAGGAACCGUAUUCCACUGACGGCACUUGAGGGGGAGCGACGCCGAGGUACGUGGGCAGGCGGAUGCCCCGUAUCGGCUACAGAGGCUGAAUCCUCUGGGUUGUCACCAGAUCGCCCAACGCGGGCGGCCAGCAAGGUGGAGCGCUUCUGGG